GAGUUAGCGAUGAUUAUAAAAAUAAUUUUUCAUUUUAACUAGCUUAAUUUGGAAUGACAAACCUCUCAUUACACCCAUUGAAUUGAGCUAC
rnacentral:snoRNA from 1 species